GACGAACGCUGGCGGCGUGCUUAACACAUGCAAGUCGAACGGAAAGGCCCUGCUUUUGUGGGGUGCUCGAGUGGCGAACGGGUGAGUAACACGUGAGUAACCUGCCCUUGACUUUGGGAUAACUUCAGGAAACUGGGGCUAAUACCGGAUAGGAGCUCCUGCUGCAUGGUGGGGGUUGGAAAGUUUCGGCGGUUGGGGAUGGACUCGCGGCUUAUCAGCUAGUUGGUGGGGUAGUGGCUUACCAAGGCUUUGACGGGUAGCCGGCCUGAGAGGGUGACCGGCCACACUGGAACGGAGACACGGUCCAGAGUGCUACGGGAGGCAGCAGUGGGGAAUCUUCCGCAAUGGGCGAAAGGCUGACGGAGCAACGCCGCGUGAGUGAUGAAGGUCUGCGGAGCGGAAAACUAUGUUAGGAGGGAAGAACAAAUGUGGAAGUAACUAUGCACGUCGGGACGGUACAUAAUCAGAAAGCCACGGCUAACUACGUG
rnacentral:rRNA from 1 species